rnacentral:rRNA from 1 species
CCUACGGGUGGCAGCAGUGGGGAAUAUUGGACAAUGGGGGCAACCCUGAUCCAGCCAUGCCGCGUGUGUGAAGAAGGCCCUCGGGUUGUAAAGCACUUUCAGUGAGGAAGAACGCCUGGUGGUUAAUACCCAUCAGGAAAGACAUCACUCACAGAAGAAGCACCGGCUAACUCCGUGCCAGCAGCCGCGGUAAUACGGAGGGUGCGAGCGUUAAUCGGAAUUACUGGGCGUAAAGCGCGCGUAGGUGGCUUGAUAAGCCGGUUGUGAAAGCCCCGGGCUCAACCUGGGAACGGCAUCCGGAACUGUCAAGCUAGAGUGCAGGAGAGGAAGGUAGAAUUCCCGGUGUAGCGGUGAAAUGCGUAGAGAUCGGGAGGAAUACCAGUGGCGAAUGCGGCCUUCUGGACUGACACUGACACUGAGGUGCGAAAGCGUGGGUAGCAAACAGGAUUAGAUACCCUAGUAGUC